rnacentral:lncRNA from 1 species
AAAAACGAUUACUAAUUGUAAUAUUUUUUCAUGAUUUCCACUAUAGUCUUUAAAACCAUAUCAAGCUCGUCUCCGUAGAGGUGAUCGAAAGGUUUUGUUAAAAAUUUCAUAUCGUGACUUCUUUGCUUCUCCACUUGAACUUGAUGCUUUUCCUCUCUUGAUCUUUUUUUCUCCUCCAACUUCUCAUUUUCAAAACUCAAAGGACUCUUAAAACUCAAAUUAUAAAUUUCCAAACUACUAGCAACUCUAUUUACUUCAUCUCCUCUUCCCGUUCCUUAUGUAUUUGACGACGAUCCUCUUUGUCUGACAUAAAGUCAUAAAGUGAUUAAAGCCAUUAACAUCUAAAAAGUGGUUUUCAGUAUAAAGUCAUAAAUCUGUUAACAUAAAAUAAAAUUGAAAAUGAAAAUAUUCAUAUAAAGUGCAAUUGUUAAAAAAUAUCCAAAAACCAAUUCGAUGAUUCAUUCAUGCUAGAGUUCCUAUUUCUUCCUCCAACAUCGAUUUCAUCAUGAUGACCUUUAAAUAGCAACAAUAUGCAAAAUUAAAUUUAUGAUCUUUUGAAAGCUACAUAAAUGUCGUCUACUAUUUGUACUAAAAAGAACUCACAAUUAUACGAAUACAGAAGGAUGCAUUCUUCCGUUCUUUGUUCAUGAGUGACUCGUGAGUAUGUUGUAUGUGUCUUUUCUUUUUUAUUAGGGCGCUGUAAAAAACUAGCCACACGAUUAUAUGAAUACGCAAGGAAGGAAAUCAAAUUUCAAUAAUAAUUAAAUAUAUCUACAAUUUGUUAGGCUAGAAACGGCUCCUUCCCCCUUUUUCGUGCGGCAAAGCCAUACCCGAAUAAACCCUUACCGUAUUUUUUUGGCACCUCGGUAGGGUGCUUACCGCAUACCGCAUCUUACCGCGGUAUGCGGCACAUGGUGCACCGUGUAGCCUAAGUGGUAAAGACAUAAAUAACACAUUUACAAUCAUUUGUUAUAUAGGUAUAAAAUCAUGCACUUGUAUCGGUAUGCUUUGUAUUUCAUAUGUUUAUGAAAUCAAAAGUCAAAAUAUGCAAUUUGCUAAUCAAAAUAUUGUUAGUAAAUUAUUAAUCUAUAAUGUUUAACUUUAAUUUUAA